UGGUUCUCUCCGAAAUAUAUUUAGGUAUAGCGUUGUGUCGUAAUAUAAGGGGGUAGAGCACUGAAUGGGCUAGGGCAUACACCAAUGUACCAAACCCUAUCAAACUCCGAAUACCUUAUAUGUAAUCACAGCAGUCAGGCGGCGAGUGAUAAAAUCCGUCGUCAAGAGGGAAACAACCCAGACUACCAGCUAAGGUCCCUAAAUCUUACUUAAGUGGAAAACGAUGUGAAGUUACUUAAACAACCAGGAGGUUGGCUUAGAAGCAGCCAUCCUUUAAAGAAAGCGUAAUAGCUCACUGGUCUAGUGAUUUUGCGCGGAAAAUAUAACGGGGCUAAAGUAAGUACCGAAGCUGUAGACUUAGUUUACUAAGUGGUAGGAGAGCGUUCUAUUUGCGUCGAAGGUAUACCGGUAAGGAGUGCUGGAGCGAAUAGAAGUGAGCAUGCAGGCAUGAGUAGCGAUAAUUAAUGUGAGAAUCAUUAACGCCGUAAACCCAAGGUUUCCUACGCGAUGCUCGUCAUCGUAGGGUUAGUCGGGUCCUAAGUCGAGUCCGAAAGGGGUAGACGAUGGCAAAUUGGUUAAUAUUCCAAUACCAACAUUAGUGUGCGAUGGAAGGACGCUUAGGGCUAAGGGGGCUAGCGGAUGGAAGUGCUAGUCUAAGGUCGUAGGAGGUUAUACAGGCAAAUCCGUAUAACAAUACUCCGAGAACUGAAAGGCUUUUUGAAGUCUUCGGAUGGAUAGAAGAACCCCUGAUGCCGUCGAGCCAAGAAAAGUUUCUAAGUUUAGCUAAUGUUGCCCGUACCGUAAACCGACACAGGUGGGUGGGAUGAGUAUUCUAAGGCGCGUGGAAGAACUCUCUUUAAGGAACUCUGCAAAAUAGCACCGUAUCUUCGGUAUAAGGUGUGGUUAGCUUUGUAUUAGGAUUUACUCCGAAAGCAAGGAAACUUACAACAAAGAGUCCCUCCCGACUGUUUACCAAAAACACAGCACUCUGCUAACUCGUAAGAGGAUGUAUAGGGUGUGACGCCUGCCCGGUGCUCGAAGGUUAAUUGAUGGGGUUAGCAUUAGCGAAGCUCUUGAUCGAAGCCCGAGUAAACGGCGGCCGUAACUAUAACGGUCCUAAGGUAGCGAAAUUCCUUGUCGGUUAAAUACCGACCUGCAUGAAUGGCGUAACGAGAUGGGAGCUGUCUCAAAGAGGGAUCCAGUGAAAUUGUAGUGGAGGUGAAAAUUCCUCCUACCCGCGGCAAGACGGAAAGACCCCGUGGACCUUUACUACAGCUUGACACUGCUACUUGGAUAAGAAUGUGCAGGAUAGGUGGGAGGCUUUGAGUAUAUGACGCCAGUUGUAUAUGAGCCAUUGUUGAGAUACCACUCUUUCUUAUUUGGGUAGCUAACCAGCUUGAGUUAUCCUCAAGUGGGACAAUGUCUGGUGGGUAGUUUGACUGGGGCGGUCGCCUCCCAAAUAAUAACGGAGGCUUACAAAGGUUGGCUCAGAACGGUUGGAAAUCGUUCGUAGAGUAUAAAGGUAUAAGCCAGCUUAACUGCAAGACAUACAAGUCAAGCAGAGACGAAAGUCGGUCUUAGUGAUCCGGUGGUUCUGUGUGGAAGGGCCAUCGCUCAAAGGAUAAAAGGUACCCCGGGGAUAACAGGCUGAUCUCCCCCAAGAGCUCACAUCGACGGGGAGGUUUGGCACCUCGAUGUCGGCUCAUCGCAUCCUGGGGCUGGAGCAGGUCCCAAGGGUAUGGCUGUUCGCCAUUUAAAGCGGUACGCGAGCUGGGUUCAGAACGUCGUGAGACAGUUCGGUCCCUAUCUGCCGUGGGCGUAAGAAGAUUGAAGAGAUUUGACCCUAGUACGAGAGGACCGGGUUGAACAAACCACUGGUGUAGCUGUUGUUCUGCCAAGAGCAUCGCAGCGUAGCUAAGUUUGGAAAGGAUAAACGCUGAAAGCAUCUAAGCGUGAAGCCAACUCUAAGAUGAAUCUUCUCUAAGCUCUCUAGAAGACUACUAGUUUGAUAGGCUGGGUGUGUAAUGGAUGAAAGUCCUUUAGCUGACCAGUACUAAUAGAGCGUUUGGCUUAUCUUUAAUAAAGCAU
rnacentral:rRNA from 1 species